rnacentral:rRNA from 1 species
CUCUUAACGGGGGAUCACUCGGC